CACAAUCCUAACAACGACGUUCUUCCUCUAGGGCUUCUCCUCUCUCCGCCGGUUACGAUCUCUCCAGUGCUGUGGAGAAGAAGAUUCCAGCGAGAGGCAAGGAUCUGGUGGUUACUGACCUCAACAUUUCAAUUCCAAAAGGCACCUAUGCCCGCAUUGCUCCGCGAUCGGGUCUUCCAUUAAAGCAUUGGAUUGACGUUGGUGCAGGGGUGAUUGACGCCAGUUGGGGUGAUACUGUUCAACCAAUCGACGAUCUCAGAUUUUAGAUUUUCUUCAAUUCUUGCUGCUAGCUACUUUACUUUAAAAGCUUCAAGUUUUAAUAUUUGCUGGGAAAGAAAAAAGAAGAAAAAUUAUCAUUUGAAAGAGAUGGUUGUCGGAUCAAGAAAAAAAGAAUUAAAAAAAAAAAGAGAAGUAGAAGUUACCAGUGUAAAAAGGGAUUGGAUUAGGAAAGUAAAAUUCUAUCACCAAAAGAGUUAGAAAGUAGGUCUUCUAGAGCAAGCAACAAGGAAGCAUGACUUUGCUUGAUAUGUUUAGACGUAUAUUAAGGAGUAUAUUAAGGAUUAUAUGUUAAGACGUAUUAUUAAAAAAUGUUACUUUGAUACUUUGUUUUUGGAUUAUGACAUUUCAAUUAUGACUUGGAUUAUGAUUUUUAGGUCAUGUAUGAAUUAAAAAUCAUCUUAUGAUAUUUGAUUUAUGGUUAUGCCUUUUGGUUA